GUGGAAGCUACAGGCAGGGCUGAGUCGGCGGCAAGGAGCAGGACCUCCUGUUAGAAAGUCCCAGAAAGAAACAAACCCUCGGGGACCACCCAGAAGGCCAGGAUCAUCCGAGGGGCCGCCCCGUGGGGUCUCCAUGGCUGCACGUGCAUCCUGAGGCCCAAGUCCUCCUCACAGUGGCUUCACUGGGUGCUGGGACUCUGCAGGGACCGAGCUGUUGGUGCUCCAGCAUUCAGGGAGCUCCUGCCUUGGGGUGGACAGACAGCAGAUAACCAGAAGCAGCAGAGAAAACAUCUGAAGUGCUUCCUGGACACACCUGUUAGGAAGUUUCUGCAAGAACCCAGGUGGCGUCCUCGUCACGAGAGGAGCUUGAGCGGGUCGUGGCCUUCCUGGCAACCUGCCUACAGAGAAAACGAUUGCUGGGUGCAGAUGUCUCGAACAUUUAUUGCAUUCCACGUUGUCAGUCAAUAAAACAGCUUUGCGAGCG
rnacentral:lncRNA from 1 species